UAAGGAAUAUUGGGCAAUGGACGCAAGUCUGACCCAGCCAUCCCGCGUGCAGGACGAAUGCCCUAUGGGUUGUAAACUGCUUUUGUUUGGGAAGAAAUGUAUUCUUUUAAGAGUAUUUGACGGUACCAGACGAAUAAGCACCGGCUAACUCCGUGCCAGCAGCCGCGGUAAUACGGAGGGUGCAAGCGUUAUCCGGAAUCACUGGGUUUAAAGGGUGCGUAGGCGGCCAGAUAAGUCAGAGGUGAAAGU
rnacentral:rRNA from 1 species